rnacentral:lncRNA from 1 species
GCGUGUCAACUUGAAUAAGAUGGUGCUGAGAGUGACACUGAGCCAAGGAGACGUCUUUCGCAGGUCCGCAGCUACGAUGGGCAGUUUUACUGACAAUCUGGGUGAACCCCACUGUUUGUGGGCCAUGUGUCAACACCCAUGCUGCUGGGAGGCGGUGUACAGGGUCGCUAAAGGCAUUCAACGGCCUGUGCUCACGCCAUCUCCCAAGGAGCGUGAACCCAAACAGGAAGGGCUCCCAAGGCUGAGUGUUGUGAAUGUUUCUGAGUGGGCCGAGUGCAAGCGUAAGGCUAAGCGUUUGGAGAGAACCGAAGCUUCUGUGCGAAGGCAGUCCUACCAAAGUCAAAAAAAAGAAGAAGAUGAUAAAGCAGCACAAGGGUAAGGUGGAUCAUUGACAUACUGAUUAAAUUCUUUUAAUCCAUGACGCUAUGUCAUUUUUGCAAGGUGAAAUCAUUUCUAAUGCCAUCCAAUAUUAGCCCACACCUACACCCACAGUUGGGCUCAAGACAUAAGAGUCCAGAUCCUAACUGCACUGAACUCAGAAAGGUAGUUAAGCUAAAUACAGCGUUGAUCAACCCACUUGUCACAUGCUCAAGUUCAUUUUGGGGAUCCAAUUCUGCACCACUGCGGAUGGUGGGGGAUCCACGUAAAUCUCCUCAAAAGGACUCAGAGAACAGGUAUCGUUUUACCUUAUGCAAAAUAUGUAAAAUGCAUAAUACGGGAAACUAGCAAAAAACAAAAUGCAAUUCAUGCUUAAUAGGUUAAUGUAAUGUUUGCAUUCUGUAUGAAACCAGAAUAAAAUCUUCUCAGAUGUCUGUAACAGAACUUCGUCUACCAUCCUUUAAUGCAAUGAAUCCCAAAAUCAGGAAGAAAUCCAGACGAAUGAUGAAUAGGCUUCAAAUGCAGAGGCUUUGCUCGUCAACAGUUUCAGGGAACAGAGCUUCAUUUGUGCCAUGGUGCUAUGUCCAGACUUUAGACACUGGGCUGCACAGGACUGACACAAAGUCCCAGGUACACAGAAUGGGGAAAACUGCCAUCACAGCUGACAAGGACCUUGUAGCUACAGAGGCUGGUUUGGCCAUUGAGGUCGGUAGCCCCUUCCUGCUGAGGAACAAAACAGCCAGUUUUCACAAUUGUGAAGAGAAAAGGCUGAAGAUGAUUUCAGAUGCUUACCUUUCAGUGUAUAAACUGGAUAUGACUGCUAAAGAAGGGGUUGACUGGUCUAACCUCAGGGCACAACCCUACCUGUGGAAGAAAUGUAAUCCCAUGAGCAGCAUAGAGAGAUUGGCGCUCAGGCCUUUAGAGGGCGCUGUCUCUUCGCAGCUCAGACAGCCAGUGGAUUGUGUUGAUAUGUGUCGUGUCCCCAAUGGUUUGGUGUGUGGUGAGAGGAUGUCCCAUCAUCUUCACAGCCCAACAGUAACCCAGAGGAGAAGUCUUCAGAACCAGCAGAGGAAAUGCAGCACCUCUGUUUAUGGUAGCAAACGUCAUAAUCUGCCCAGACAUGAUAUGAAUGAUGCACAACAGAAACAACUAUACAAUACCAGACUGUGCCUGCAGGAUGAGUUCCAUAGAGAACCCCAAAGAACACCCUGUUAUGGUAAGGAGGAUAAAGCACAAGUUGAGGUGCUACAAUGCUGUGAAGCUCUGCGGCUUGCUAGCUCCAGACCCCAGACAAGACCACAGUCUUCAGCGUUGGACUGUGGAGAAAAGGAAUCUGAACCAAAGCAUCAUCCAUCAACUCCACCACCAAGCCUCAUCUCUCUUUAGGCAAUGAUGCCCUGUCCAGUAUUGCAGAUGCAUGAUACACUCCAACAACCACUGCACUACCUGUCACCUGCACUAUCAAUAGAAGGUCAGAACGAAAAUAUAAUGACUGCAAGGCAUUAAAGGUUACUACAAAUCUAGCAGUGUGAUUUGAUCAAUGUGACUGUGAACAAAAUAGCAGCUUUUCAGUCAUUAUUUUCAUCAUAUUCAUGUAUACUGGGAACAUUCUAAGGUUUCUGGAUGUACAAGUGGUAUUUUUAGCAAAGUAAAUGGAG